GAAUUCUUUAAAGAGGUAGUCAUGAAGAAAAAGUCAGGGUGCACCAGACAGAAGAAAGAGAUUGUGCAUUUCAUGUAGAAGCAAAGUUAUGAAAGUGCAUCGGAUGUUUUGAGAAGCAAGUACUAAGUAUGGUUGGAGAUGAAGGUUUGGGGGAUGUCCAGAGAAUUGAUACACACAUGGAUAAUGAGAAGAGGAGCAUACUUCUUGAGAAGCACAGGUAAAGAGAGGAAACCACUAUCAAGAAAAUAGAAGGAGUUAUUUGAAUAACGUGGUGGACCAGAAGAAAAACCUCAGUUGAAAAAAUGUUGCAUCACUUUUCCAAAUUUCAGUUCUUCAGGAAAUAGUGCCAUGUGGACUGGAGUGGAACAAGAUUCUCACAGAACAGAAAUUUUAAAUGAAUCACAACCUCUGACUAAAAGAGUGGAAUAAAUAAAAAGAUGGAAUCCAGUAGAACCCUCAAGUUUCAGGACUUGACAGGGAAAGGAGUUAACAUUUGGAAAGUAACUGCUAUGUGGGAGAAAUACAGAGGAGUCUUGCAUGAUUCACUAAGCUUCAUUAACUCAGUUAGCCGAAAUUAUCACGGAAAAGCAAAUAUAAACAACAGACAAGCAUGGAAAUAGAAAUACCUAUUAUGCAUCUGCUAGAGUGCACUGGACCUUGAACAAAGUGGGUUUGAACUGUGCAGGUCCACUUAUGCAUGGAUUUUUAAAAAUAAACAUACGGGAAUAAUUUUUGGAGAUUUGUGACAACUUGAGAAAACUCACAGAUGAACUGCGACCCUGGAUAUAUCAAAAAAUAAGAAACUGUUAUGUAUUUCAUUGCAAUACUGUAAACGUUGAGUAACAUCACGGAACUCAUGCAAAGUGCCACUAGUGAUGCUGGAAGUGCUUCCAAGAAGCAGAGAAACGUCAUGACAUUACAAGAAAAUUGCUUGAUGUGUACCAGAGAUUGAGGUCUGCAGCUGUGAUUGCCUGCCAUUUCAGGCAGACGAUUCAUCUUAUAAAGAGAUAAGGUUCUCUAUGGAACGUUGAGGACACAUUUGAAGAACCGAUCAGCAAUGAGCAAAGAAGUGGGUUUACUUAUCCUUUUACUGGAGUAAAGUAUUUAACAUGAGAGGUUAACGGUUCAGUCCCACAAGACUAUCCCUGACCUCAGACACCAAUUACAAGUCCAGAUUGUCACUUGUGUGUCUAACAGACUGCCUGCAAAUCAGGCAUUCCUACAACCUCCUCCUAAAACUUUAUAAUAUGCUAGAAUGGCUCAUGCAACUCAGGGGAACAUAUACUGACAUUUACCAAUUUAUCACGAA
rnacentral:lncRNA from 1 species